AGCUAACCGUUACACUUUUGAUCGCAGCUAUACCGAUAACAGCAUCGGAUGGAUCGACUGGAAAUCGAGUAGUCCAGUAAAGCCAUCCUGAUUCGUGGUAGUUCGUUUUUUAAUACUGCCACUUUUGGCAUGAAUCUUCUUAAUCAUUCAAUUGGCCCACGUUCGGUAGCAGGCCUUGCUGAUAGUUUGCAUCGCUUUGCGAUGGUUAGCUGUUUCACAAUCCGAACAGGAAAUCAUUUUUGUUCAAAAUUCCCAGUGUCUGCAAUAAAAUUGAAAGAGAUUAGUUUCCGGAGAAGAGUAUUGCAGAUUAAAGUUUAAUUAUUACCUGAAAUCACUAGGACAGUUUCCAGUUCGGAGAUGAAGAAACGUCUUGGUUACUUUUGUUGGGUAGAUAUCGAGAAAUUGGGUUGGGACAAGUUGCCACAUUUUGAAGUUGGCGCCUUGAAACCCAAAAAAACUCGGUCGCCGGUUCGCCACGAUUUGGAUAGCCCUUAUAGCAAUUCCGGCUAAUUAAGUUAGGUUAUUUGCACUACCAGAGCUAUGAGUGCCUAGAUUACAAAGACUGGUAGGCUGGGAUGUGCGACCAAAUCGUUCAAACGUUGCUCCGAAUGCCAACUCCAUGCUGUAGACCUUGUAUGUUACCGGCACUCAGUCAACGCAUCUGGAUCGGAACAAGUACGAAGCUUUUCUCGCUUCCGACGUCCUGCUAUUAUUAUACAUCAGUCAUCACACGAAUUACCGGAGCAUUCUGCGUUACUCACAAUCCUAUUUGAAAUGCCUUUCCCGCAAUAUUCCGAAUCAAAAAGAAACGCCAUUUGAGAUAAAAUACCUCAUCUAGUCCCGAAAGAUAGAGGAAAAUACGCGUACGGAAUUGACCAAAGUCAAUGUUAUGAACACAGUAAAACAAAAUCGAUAUCAAAACAUUUGUCAUUUGUCUGACGUUUUGUAGAACGACUGCGUGCAUUUUGCAGGAUGCCAUAGUCAGUACUAAAAUUUAUUAGAACACUUGCAGGAUGGCAACGAUCAGUACUAAAUAUAUUAACAACGCUUGCAGGAUGGUGUGGAUUUUUGGGUUAAUUCAUCCUGCAAACAAGCUAAAUCCGAGCUGCGCUGAGCGAGCGUGUACAUUUUUCAGCACGGUUUAGUACAUACACACGUCAUCCUGCAUGCGGUGACAGCUGCUGAUAGUCAUUUUGUUUGUGAACAAAAUGUUUUGCUUCGCAUACACACCAUUUCACUAUAGUGUAUGUUUUUUUGGCUGCUGAAAUUUGAAUGCUUUCAAAUUUUUCUGCUCCCGUGAUGGAUUUUCUGCAUCGGGUUGUGCCGGUGGUAGAAACUCAGCCCUUCAGGUCUGAGCCCUUAUUAUUCAGCCUUUCGAUGCGAUUCAAACGAUGUGUGGGUGCCGGGAUCAAAUCUUCGGAUAUCGUGCAUCAGCUACAAUAUUUUAUUCAGCUUUCGGUACGAGUCUCAGGUGACAUGGUGCUGAACGCUGCGUGGCGAUGGGUGAUGAAUAAAACAAAUAUGCACUGGUGAAGGCCCAAUUGGAAAUGCACUUUCAAACACUAAGUGCAUCUAAUCAGAUGAAAUGUUUAGGUUCUGGUCAGCUGAAUUACAAUCCGGAUUUUCUCGAUUUUGAAAGAAUGCCUGCCGAAAGCACGCAGCUCCUUGCAUCCUGCAUCAUCCAUAGGAUAAGAGGAGAUCCAAUAAUGGAUCGCAUGAUAGCGCCGGUCCGCAGGAAUCGACCGAAUAGUUUACCGGAGGAACACAAGGAACCUUGCAUAGCAAAACGAAGAUCAGCAACAUGCCAAAGGAGCUUCGUGGAUGACACUAUCGCGAAAUCACCUGCCGGUAGGAUUCUGCCCAACAACAAACUCCAAAUAAACGGUUAGGAAGGGGAGCGUCCGCUGUACCAAACCGGCCUACCAUGUAUUGGAAAACCUAAACAAAAUUGAAGAAAAAAGAAUGCACGGAUCGUCGCGAUAGGCUUUAAAGGGCACGCCUCCAGAGCAGUGCAUAAGUAUCAGGUCAUCUAAGAAUUCCUGUAUCAGAUAUUCUAGGACGAUGGAAACCUUGUUCAUGCAUUCCAAAGGAUGCUGAUGGUACCCCGUACCCACCGGCUUAUGAUAUGCAUACUGCUAAUCCCUUUCUGGAGCAUCAACUUUAGACUGGCUGCCACGACGCCGGAACGCUAAGGAAUAGUUUAUCGAAUUGAACUUAAUGCAGUUUAUUGUUUUAAUGGAAACGAAAAAACAAAUCUUUUCAAAACGAAAGCCUCAAAACUGCCCUAAAGUAAUAAAAAGUUGCUUACAAAUUGUAUUAAAAUAACUUACUGCUCUUCAUCAUGAUGAACACUAAGAUUUGAAAGCUUGAUAACUCUUCCGUAAUGGCUUACAUGAAACAGUUUUCUGUUGAACACGAUCAAGAGGUUUGUUCUUAUAUCGGUUGGAAAAUGUUAAACCACGUAAAAUCUUUGUGUAUCAACUAACAAAGCAUUUUCCAAAAUUCAGAGAUGUAGGUAUGUGCGUAUAAAGAACCAGUUUGCUUUUCGAUGCUAACCUUUAAAAGAAAAUUAUUCAAUUUAGCCACCCUUUGAACAAGGUAACCCGCUGGGGAAAGCAAUCGACAAUAUUAGAGACAACGCAAUGGAGUACAUUUUCAGAUCUUCGUUUAUGAGAAUAUUUGGUACUGACGUUUGUCGUGACGGGUUUUGCGUCCAGAACUCAUUCCACCGAUGAACUAGUGUUUCUGGCAUGUUGACUAUACGGAAGCUUACAAGGCUGGUCUUCAUCCGCACAGGACUAGAACUUUCGAUAUUUUCUUUUUUCAACUAUUUCAAAACCAGCCGCAGCAUUUGUCGGCCAGGAGAGCAAACUUGAAGUUUCCUGGUGCUUCAUUAUACUUUUCCUGUGUAUGCCUAUCUUGAUCCAAGUAAACCCUCUAAAGGAAUGGCAUAUGGCAAUGGGCCACGCUCAGUACCAUGCCUCAGAUGAAGCGCAAUCACGAUUGGCUAUUUCCAAGAAGAUUAUUCUGCAAUGAAACAGCCAAGAUAACGGUUCGAGGGUAGCUUCCUGAAUGCAUUCAGUAUCAUAGAAUCUCCAUGCACCACAUUGUAGUAGAUCAUCGCUUCUAUUUGUCGUUAUUCGAAUUCUGACCAGUUGUUUGGGCUUCUCAGGUAUUGCAAAUAAUCGAUCCGUAUUUCGCCACCAAUUUGGGAGAUAAGCAGCAAAGCACCUGUCGACCGGUCUCAGCUUUCGGAUGGUUUGUUUUGGGACCCUAAAAAUAAAGAUUACAUUAAUUCUGUUCGGGUUCACUGAUUACAGACUUGAUGCUUGAUUUUGAUUGGGAGAUUCAAGUGCCAAAAAACUUGGAUUCAAGUGAAGCAUUCCAAAUGAUUUUCAAUAUAUUUUAAUUUGUUUGUAUUUUGUUUGAGUUUAUUUUAAUGACAAUUAUUUAGAAAUGGCGCUCCCUUUCCGAAGACAGUUUUCUAACUCUUGCAUCAGGAAUUUUAAGCUAAUGAAUCAGGUAUAAAUGUUUUAAAUUUUACCUGGAGUUAAACGUCAACCGGACGUCCGGAUAAGCGUAGUACCUACUUUUGAUCGCAGCUGCACCGAUAACAUCGUUUCGGAUGGAUCGACCGAAAAUCGAGUAAUCCGGGAAAGCAAUCUUGAUUCGCGGUAGUUCCUUUUUCAACACUGCCACUCCUGGCAUGAAUAUUAUCAUUCAUGCAAUCGGAUCGCAUUCGGUAGCAGGCCUCGGUGAUCUUUUGCAUCGCCGUGCGGUCUAUAUUUACAGAGGUAUGCCUAUCUGUUUCAAAAUUCGAACAGGAAAAUGUCUGCAAGAAAAUUCAAAUAUAUAAGUUUCCGGAAAAGAGUAUUACAGAUAAAAGUUUAAUUCAAACCUGGAAAUUAAUUUUUCGGAAGCAAAUUGACCAAAGCCAAUAUUACGAAAUCGACAGUAAAAGAAAUCGAAAUCAAAACAUUUUUCUGACGUUUUCAAGAACGGCUGCGUGCAUUUUGCAGGAUGGCAUGGUCAGUACUAAAAUUAUUAGAACAUUUGCAGGAUGGCAACGAUCAGUACUAAAAAAAUUAAGAACGCUUAUGCUGGAUUGUGUGGAUUUGUGGGUUAAUUCAUCCGGCGCCAUCCUGCAAACCAGCGAAAUCCUAGUUAAACCGAGUAAGCGUGUACAAUUUUCAGUACGUUUUAGUACACACAUGCCAUCCUGCAUGGGGUGACAGCUAGAAUUUGUUUGUUAUCAUUGUUUUGCUUCCAUUUUAAAUUGCACUUUAAAACUCUUUGAAAAAUCUAGUAAACGAUAGUUAUAAUAUCCGUCGCGAUUUCGUGCGGUGUCGAAGCCACCAGUUUAUCAACAAAUUCGUGCGUCCAAUAAGAAAACCAUUUUACCGUUCAAAAAUGCCUUGGUGUUCAACGCUUCGCUCAGUGCUACCGGUUCCCCCCAUCCGAUGAGAUUCCGGCACCAGCACCGGCGAAGCAAGAAGGUGCGGUGCAUUCAUUAAAGAUUAAACUAGCUUCCAAAAUUCAAUCAUCGCAAAACUACCCGAAAACAGAAUCUCGAACAACAAACCCUUCCUAUAACACGACCACGGAAAGUUCCUGCUGCAUGAACCUCAAUACACCGAUGAUGAUGAAGAGAUGCCAAUGCGUCCGGGUUCGAAACUUCCAAGAAGGCUCUGCCCGGGGCCAGCUCCGAGUCGGAAUUCAAUUCGGUUCCGAAACCAGAUGACUUCCGUUAGAUGACAUGGUUCCGGGAGUUCAAAGAAGGCCAAAAUGCUCCGCUCGGCAGGAGUGUCGGAAAUUGGGAACAGCACAUCAAAAAAAUCGGUGCCAAGCAUAGAUUUGCAGUGUAUUGCAGCUCCGAUGCAGGCUCACCUGAGCUGGUCAACUGUAACACUUGCGAAUUUCUGAAAUCCUAAAUUCUGAAAGCUGAAACAUGAAAGAUGAAAUUUGAGUGAGUUAGGUUCAGGUUCAGCUUCAGGUUCAACUACCCGGAAGACGACCCGUGAUUAAGGAUGAAAUGACGAAUAUUCCAAUUCCAGCCCUAGUUAGCGGGAAGAAGCGCAACGCAAAGAGCCACGGCACGGCGCUGAAAGUUCGGCAAGUUACCAAUGAAAUGAUAAAGAUCCAAGAAACGGGGUGAUGUAUUUACGAUGCUGUUCCGUGUACAGAAAACUAUGACAAGCUGUUAAAUAGAUAUUUAGAGAACCAUGCCUUAUCUGUUAACGUACAUUUUCUGUGUUCUCCGAGGAUAGUUUAAAAACAAAUGGGUGACAAAAAAGACCAUCAUCGAAACGCUCAGCUCAAAUACCACAGAAGAUUUCAAUUGAGGCUAAGUUGCUGAAGUUAUUCGGUACUACGGUACCAGCCCAUCAAUAGCUCAGGUUCCCCCAAUGUUAAACAUUUCUGAGAUAGAGGUUGGCCUUUGUGGCAGCAAUGUCCGUAACAACCAAUGUGCGAUCUCCCGACCCGAGUUGGCACAAAACUUCAGUGGCUAAAAUCAUCGUAUAUCAAGAGUUGUUUCAAGAGUCUGUUGUCAUCCUUGGAUGUGGUCCAUUUUUUGCUAUCACUUCAAAAAAGCUACCAGCUAUCAUUGCCACUUUCUAUAUUUUAGGGUGGUAAAACAGUCCUCAAAUUUGGAAACUAGGAAAGGAAGCGGUGUUGUUGGAAAAUUGUUUGAUGCCAAGCUGAAUUAGGAACUGAAUAACGCCGAAAGAAAAUCAGUUCGGUCUAAGUUACUAUCUCAACUAUAAAUAUAAAAUUCCAAUAGGAAAAAAAUCGAAUUAAACUUAUUUAAAGAAAUUUUUAGAUUUCCUUUUGAUUAUUGAAAUGAAAACCGAGAUGAAAAUCCCAGGUUUCUUGUUUAGCGGCGUCCACUUAUGUGAUGUGUUUGGAAUUUUGGACUGCUAGAUGAAAUCGAAAAUACCUUUCUUGAAACAUAUCCGCUUCAUACAAUUUUAGAAAUUUCCAAUUUGACUAUAUUAUUGAGUUCAGAGGAAAAUUAAAAAAAAAAAUAACAUAACAAGAUAGAAGCAGCCAUAUAUUUAAAAUACGGAAUUUUAUGGAAUAUGCUUAAAAAUUGUAUCGGUGUGCCAUAUUGUAUGUUACUUUUGUAUGGAAGGAAGGGCUUAUUUAAGUCAAAGCGAUUUGAAAGUAUUGUUGAAACCAUCUCCUACUCCGAAUACUCUCAUACACCCAACUUCACGUUGAUCGGAACAGUAGUUUUCGAGUCUAUAGAGAACAAUCAGACAGACAGACAAACAUUCAUUUUUAUAUAUCUAUAAAGAUUUUUUUUUCGGAAAAUAAUUUUUUUCAGCUUUCCCGGAGACUUCAAGCUUCAAUACUUGUUACUUAUGUGUGUGACUUAAAAAAACUGAACAAAUA